rnacentral:rRNA from 1 species
GGGGGGACGGAGAAGGCUAGGUGGGCCUGGCGACGGUUGUCCAGGUUCAAGUGCGUAGGCUUAAGAGUUAGGUAAAUCCGGCUCUUUUUAAGGCUGAGACACGACGUCGAGCAUCUACGGAUGUGAAGUCAUUGAUGCCAUGCUUCCAGGAAAAGCCUCUAAGCUUCAGAUUGUAAGGAAUCGUACCCCAAACCGACACAGGUGGUCGGGUAGAGAAUACCAAGGCGCUUGAGAGAACUCGGGUGAAG